GCCCCUGUGGCCUAAUGGAUAAGGCACUGGCCUCCUAAGCCAGGGAUUGUGGGUCGAGUCCCACCGGGGGUA
rnacentral:tRNA from 1 species